GCAACAAAGUAUACAAUGUAUUAUUAAAAUUAUGCACUCAUAAUCAAAUUAAGAAUAAAACACUACUUCCAGUCAAAAAAAGAAUAAAAACUACUUAAUAAUUAAGCAUACCCCAUAUUAUAGAAUGAUUGAAAACGUAAACCACCCACAAUCAAAUGCAACAAAUUCAUUUUAUCGAAAUUAAGGUAAAGACUAAAAACUCAUUACUUGUAAAAAUUCUAUAAAAUAAAAGAAAAAUAUAAUCAUAUCCAAAAACCAAAAGGAAUUGGAAAAAAAAUAUUGGUUGAGAGUAUAUUUUGUAGACUAUAAAUAAUUAAAUAUUGGUUGAGAGGUUUAGUUUAUAUUAAAAAGAAAAAAAAGCCAAAGAUUGUUAUUCUAGAAGGAGAGCUUCAUCCCAAUUCACAUCCAUCUGAUAUGAAAAACCCUAACCCAAAGGCCAAUGAUGAUGGAUUAUCAACAAGAAGCAUUGCAGAUCUACCAGACAAGCAAUUGAGUGAAAUAUUUGUCCGACUUCCGUGUUAUGAAUCUGUAAUCAGAUGCAAAUUUGUAUCGAAACGUUGGUUAUCUCUACUGUCAAACCCUAAAUUCGUGAUCGAAUUCGUCAACCACAAGAGGAAGUGAGGCAGAAUUUCCUUCCAUGGACCUUUUUAUCGUUGAGGCAGGUGAAAUUAAUCAAUGAUGAUGAUAACAGAACAAAUCAAUCAUUUAUCGACACCAAUAAUAAGAAUUUGUGGAUUUCAAUGCUUGUACUGUGGCUGUUAUCAACCCUCUUUUGAUCGAGUUUGGAUUCAACCCGAAUAUUUUUACAAUUUCAUACCAGUUUCGUUUGACCGAGGAGGAGCGAGGUGAAGGUUUUGAUGUGGCUCCGUAUACCUUUGAAAGACUGUCAAUGCUGUUGGUUGUAUUGUAAUGGUUGAAGUUGAUGCCUGAGUUAUAUGUUGAGAAAGUUUUGAUGAUAGAAAUGAAAUUUUAUUUUGG